rnacentral:rRNA from 1 species
GAUGAACGCUGGCGGCGUGCCUAAUACAUGCAAGUCGAGCGAACAGAUGAGGAGUUGGCUCCUUUGACGAGAGCGGCGGACGGGAGAGUAACAUGUGGAUAACGCACCUAUAAGACUGGUAUAACUUCGGGAAUGCGGAGCUAAUACGGGAGAACCGAUUGAAGCGCAUGGGUCAAUAGGGAAUGACGGUUUUGCUGUCACUGAUAGAUGUAUCCGCGCUGCAUUAGCUAGUUGGUAAGAUAACGGCUUACCAAGGCAACGAUGCGUAGACGACCUCGGAGAGUGAUCGGCCACCCUGGAACUGAGACACGGUCCAGAGUCCUACGAGAGGCAGCAGUAGGGAAUCUUCCGCAAUGGGCGAAAGCCUGACGGAGCAACGCCGCGUGAGUGAUGAAGGUCUUCGGAUCGUGAAGCUCUGUUAUUGGGGAAGAACAAAUGUGUAAGUAACUAUGCGCGUCUUGACGGUACCUAAUCAGAAAGCCACGGCUAACUACGUG